GCGGGCGUGGCGGAACCGGCAGACGCGCCGGACUUAGGAUCCGGUGGGGCGACCCGUGGGAGUUCGAUUCUCCCCGCCCGCACCA
rnacentral:tRNA from 1 species